GGGGGGGGGGGGGGGGGGGGGGGGGGGGGGGGGGGCGGGGGGGGGGGGGGGGGGGGGGGCGUGGGGGGGGAGGGGUGGGGGGCGGGGGGGGGGUGUCGGGGACGCUGCCGGCUGGCGGGGGGCAACUACUGGCCACGGUAGCGCAUCCCGCAUACCGUCGCCAGCCCCACGAGGCGGCCCUUCUGGCCCCCUGCCAUCCGAUGUGCCCAGAUGGGCUUAGCUCGGAGGUGGGGGAACGGCUCACCUAGGCGACGAUCCCUAGCCGGUCUGAGAGGAUGACCAGCCACACUGGAAGUGAGACACGGUCCAGACUCCUACGGGAGGCAGCAGUGGGGAAUAUUGCACAAUGGGCGCAAGCCUGAUGCAGCCAUGCCGCGUGUAUGAAGAAGGCCUUCGGGUUGUAAAGUACUUUCAGCGGGGAGGAAGGGAGUAAAGUUAAUACCUUUGCUCAUUGACGUUACCCGCAGAAGAAGCACCGGCUAACUCCGUG
rnacentral:rRNA from 1 species